CCUACGGGAGGCUGCAGUGGGGAAUAUUGCACAAUGGGGGAAACCCUGAUGCAGCGACGCCGCGUGAGUGAAGAAGUAAUUCGUUAUGUAAAGCUCUAUCAGCAGGGAAGAAAAUGACGGUACCUGAGUAAGAAGCCCCGGCUAACUACGUGCCAGCAGCCGCGGUAAUACGUAGGGGGCAAGCGUUAUCCGGAUUUACUGGGUGUAAAGGGUGCGUAGGCUGUGAGGUAAGUCAGCGGUGAAAUGCCCCCGCUCAACGGGGUGAAGUGCCGUUGAUACUGCCUGGCUGGAAGGCGGAUGCGGUGGGAGGAAUGUGUGGUGUAGCGGUGAAAUGCAUAGAUAUCACACAGAACACCGAUUGCGAAGGCAUCUCACGAACCCGCGAUUGACGCUGAUGCACGAAAGCGUGGGUAUCAAACAGGAUUAGAUACCCGGGUAGUC
rnacentral:rRNA from 1 species